rnacentral:rRNA from 1 species
ACUCCUACGGGAGGCAGCAGUGGGGAAUAUUGGACAAUGGGGAACCCGUAGCAUCCAGCCAUGCCGCGUGUGUGAAGAAGGCCUUCGGGUUGUAAAGCACUUUCAGUGGGGAGGAAAGGUUGUUGGUUAAUACCUAACAGCUGUGACGUUACCCACAGAAGAAGCACCGGCUAACUCCGUGCCAGCAGCCGCGGUAAUACGGAGGGUGCAAGCGUUAAUCGGAAUUACUGGGCGUAAAGCGUGCGCAGGCGGUCUGUUAAGCGAGAUGUGAAAGCCCCGGCUGCAACCAUGGGAAGCAUGCAUUUCGAACUUGGCAGACUGAGAGUCUUGUAGAGGGGGUGGGAAUU